UGGUCCAGCCCAAACCCUGUCAGUCAGAUUGUGGCCCGCAACAUGUCACUUGUGGACCAGAGCACCCUUAGAAGCUUCACCAGAAGAGUGAGCAGGGCUUCACUGGGCCCCUGCAAUGGGUGCUUCUAGUCAUGG